AGUCAUCUGAAGCCACAGUGGCUGCAAUGCCUACGGUGUGCGCAUCAUGAGUCGCUCGCGAUUGAUCCGCAUCUGGUUUACAAUACUGGCUUGAUAUUUUAUGACAUCCGCGCUGUAGACUUUUUUGAACGUCUGAGAUGGCUCGGCAACGUCUCAAGGUACUCUGGGAAGCGUGUGUGUGCAAAUCGCCGAUCCCAUGAUCACGCUGUGUGUCACGUUCUAUACAGAGCCUCAGCUAUGGGGUCGCACGAAGGUUUGAUCGAAAUUUUCCGGGAAAAUGAGUACGGCCAGCAGGCCGCUGCUUCCGAAGCUCUCACAAACUGUUGAACGAUUAGGUACGUCGAGACGCGGGAUGCCCAGCUUGCCGUGUGCGAACAGGGAGCUGCACGACCCUUACUGCAGUCCUUAUACUAACUUUAGGAAGAUUAUUUCCGUCGACGUGGUUGAAUAGAGAGGAUUUGAAAAUGGUUCAGGACUGAUGUUCCGCUCGGAUCGUUUGCUUUCUGUUUUUCGUGGACCUCUGUUCCAAUGGAUCUUUCUCUUUUUUGGCCUGGGGUGAGUUGGCCUCCAACUCGACCAGGUGAUCUUGGGCAGGGAUAUAUUCGCUAUGCACCAUAUCUCUAGUUUACGUUGGAUUCAGACGCACUGGCUGCGCGCUGGGACUGAAACUUGCAUUUCCUUCAAACGCAUCUGCUAUUCUCGCAGUGCUUUUUGGUUAGCUUCUUCGUCGCGAGCACACCAACGAACCGAAGCGCACCUUUGCGCUCCCUUCCGCGCUCGAGCAGCGGCGCGAAGCAGCAGUUCAGUGCUCGUGAACCUCGAUUAUGAUUCAUUGAAGACCGGUGACACGGAUUCGAGUGGCCCCUCGGUUAGUAUAUCAGCCUGAGAAUGACGUUCACGAAUGAUGCAGACGCCUUCGACCCGACUGAUCCAGGGAUAUGAGCUGCCGCGAAGCGCAACACAACGCCAAUCCCAGCUGGAUACCCCCAGACUUGUUUAUCGCGAUGAAGAGCGACACUUUCUAACAGCAGGCCAGAAUCAUCUGCGAAGGAGCAGCCACGAAGCGUGCUCCCACGAAGGAUGCGUUCUUGAAAGAUCCUAUCCGUUUGGUGAUUUGUCGGCGAUCACGUGACUGAAUCGUAGCUCAGGCUGAUGUUGUUCGAAUGCUCGCUUGUGUCUUCUUUGGGAACAAUGGUAGUAGUUCCAGUAGAAAAUAUGGAGCAAAAAUUGAUUGACAAGAAGACAGUGGUGUAGAUACAUUCAAAAAAGCUCAGGUUUGAGCGUAUGCCAUGCAGGGUACGGACCAAAAGACGGAGCAAAACAUACGCACCUGCACACCGUGAAUCAUUGUCUUGUCGUACUUCACGAGCUAGCUGUUCUACCAGAGAAUCUGCACGUGACCCGCGUCCAGUCUAAAGGACGCAUUCCUUUUGUUGAAUACAUAUGAACCAGGCAAACAAAAACAAAAACGGCAGGCUGGUACAUGUAUUCCAGCAUUCGCUCCUCUGAAUAUCGCGACCGGCGCUGGUGACAUGAUCACCUUCGCUCAACCGUGGGGCCUAUAUAGGAGGGCGCUUCUCGAAUGCGGUUUAUGGAGGAAACUGCAUAGAGAUAGACGCAUACACGCAAACACGCAAACACGCAAACACGCACACACGCACGCACACACGCAAACACGCACACACGCAUACACGCACACACGCACACGCAUGCAAGUCCGCCUGCUGUGCGGCUGCCAACAUCAUGCGUCUCCGCCGACGCCUCACUUUGCCGCUGGAAAACGCGCUCUGCCAGGACGUUCUUCGUCGGGCAGCACUUGAACGCUUUCGCAGGAGCAUGCGCCCGCGCAUCCUCGUAUUUGCGGUCGCCACAAUGCCGAAAAAACGGCGGUCAUUGCAUCUAAACCAGUUUCAGUCCCAGACCUCUACCAUGUAUCGGCCUUGCAUGGCCAUGAGACUGAGCAUUUGCUCAGCCUCUGAGGCGCUGAGACCAGCGCGGCUGCAGAGCACCGCUUCCAGGAUCGCUCGACGCACUUCAGCUGGCAUGCUUGUGCUCGAGCUGCCUGCCACCAUGAUAUGGACUCGCUGCGAGCGAUCCGUACCCUUGAAACAGGUCUCGUAAAUCAAGUCU